GUGUCGGUGGUGCAACGGUUUAGCACAUACUCCCGGAAAGCGUAAGACCUGGGUUCGAAUUCCAGAUGACGCA